rnacentral:rRNA from 1 species
UACGUAGGGCGCGAGCGUUGUCCGGAUUUAUUGGGCGUAAAGAGCUCGUAGGCGGCUUGUUGCGUCAGCUGUGAAAAACCCGCAGCUCAACUGUGGGCUUGCAGCUGAUACGGGCAGGCUUGAGUUCGGUAGGGGAGACUGGAAUUCCGGGUGUAGCGGUGAAAUGCGUAGAUAUCCGGAGGAACACCGGUGGCGAAGGCGGCUUCCUGGACCGACACUGACGCUGAGGCGCGAAAGCUAGGGGAGCAAAACGGG